AAUAUAUAAUGUAAACAUUCUCUCUCUCAUAUUCCAAAACCUAACCCUAACAGCCGUCAGCUCCUUUCUCUCUCAGUCUCCGUCUCUGCCUCCCAUCAUCUGCAUCUCUCAGCCUCCGUCUCUGCCUCCCAGAGAAGAAGAGCUAAGCCUGAGACUGCUUUCCUCUCGGGAAAUAAUUAUGGAAGCAGCAGAUUUGCUACAGAAGUUGUCAUUAGAUUCUCAAACCAAGAUCCUGGAAAUUCCUGAGCCAACUAAGAAGCCUUCUGUUAAUCAAUAUGGGUCUAUUGAUUCUGGAAAUGCUGCAAAUGGUCAGAUCCAAUCAGAGCGCUCCGUGACCUGAUUUCAUGGAUCCAUCUCUAUGCUAUCUCCCGAAUGCUUAUCCGUCUGCGUAUUACAAUGGUGGCUGAAUAUUUGAGUUGGGAAUGUGAUGUUGUAUUUUAUGUUGUAAUAUAAUCAAAGAUUUUUUUGUUUAUGUUUGA